AGGGAGAUAAUACCACAAGUGAACAGCAUUAUAUAGUUCUGCUCUAGUACAGAGAGCACUGAGAUACCAUAGACUUACAUAGUUUUUAGAAGUACAAAAUGGAUAUCACAGUACGAAAUAUGUUAUUUCCAGCAUUCCCUUUCAGAAGGAAAAGGAGAAUAGAGAAGAUGACGUAAAGGAGGAAAAAGAGAUUAGUUUAGGCUGGCCUUAUUGAACCUUGCUGAUUUACAAUCUAUUUGGAUUCUAGACGACACAACAGUGGGAGAACAAGCAUCAAUGACAGUUAGCUGUCCUUGAAAAAGAAAUCAUUAGCACUCAACAGGAAUGAUCACUGUGUAUUUUGCAAAUAUUAUUGAAUCUGAAAAUAAUUAGAAUGUACUUUUUUAAUGGAAAUGGAUCUGGCCUUUCAAUAGUUCUGUCAUA